rnacentral:rRNA from 1 species
GAUGAACGCUGACAGAAUGCUUAACACAUGCAAGUCAACUUGAACUUCGGUUUGGGUGGCGGACGGGUGAGUAACGCGUAAAGAACUUGCCUCACAGAUAGGGACAACAUUUGAAAACGAAUGCUAAUACCUGAUAUUAUGAUUAUAUGGCAUCGUAUAAUUAUGAAAGCUAUAUGCGCUGUGAGAGAGCUUUGCGUCCCAUUAGCUAGUUGGAGAGGUAACGGCUCACCAAGGCGAUGAUGGGUAGCCGGCCUGAGAGGGUGAUCGGCCACAAGGGGACUGAGACACGGCCCUUACUCCUACGGGAGGCAGCAGUGGGGAAUAUUGGACAAUGGACCAAGAGUCUGAUCCAGCAAUUCUGUGUGCACGAUGAAGUUUUUCGGAAUGUAAAGUGCUUUCAGUUGGGAAGAAAAAAUGACGGUACCAACAGAAGAAGUGACGGCUAAAUACGU